AGUAAAGUCAGCUAACAAAGCUAUCGGGCCCAUACCCCGAAAAUGUCGGUUCAAAUCCCUCCUAUACUA
rnacentral:tRNA from 1 species